GACGAACGCUGGCGGCGUGCUUAACACAUGCAAGUCGUACGGUAAGGCCCUUUCGGGGGUACACGAGUGGCGAACGGGUGAGUAACACGCGAGUAACCUGCCCACAACUUUGGGAUAACGCUAGGAAACUGGUGCUAAUACUGGAUAUGUGCUCCUGCUGCAUGGUGGGGGUUGGAAAGCUCCGGCGGUUGUGGAUGGACUCGCGGCCUAUCAGCUUGUUGGUGGGGUAGUGGCCUACCAAGGCGGCGACGGGUAGCCGGCCUGAGAGGGUGACCGGCCACAUUGGGACUGAGAUACGGCCCAGACUCCUACGGGAGGCAGCAGUGGGGAAUAUUGCACAAUGGGCGCAAGCCUGAUGCAGCAACGCCGCGUGCGGGAUGACGGCCUUCGGGUUGUAAACCGCUUUCAGCAGGGACGAAGCUUUUUGUGGCGGUACCUGCAGAAGAAGCACCGGCUAACUACGUG
rnacentral:rRNA from 1 species